GAUCUUUCUUUUCCCUUCUCCAAAAAAAAAAAAAUCUGUCUCUUCCCAAGAAAUUACCAAAUCUUUCACUUUAUCAUUUAUCCCCAAAGGCAAAACUCUACACACGCAACCUCCCUCCAUCUGUUUUUAAUUACCUUCUCCUUUACCCACAAGCCAUCCACACACUCCACUCCAAUCCCUGCACUCUCCAAUCUCUGCAGCUAUUUUCAACCAUACUCAGUAAAUCAAGAAACUCUCAAACAACUCCAGCAACGCCUUCAAGAACAACUCCACACAAGGGUUUGAGGAUCAGAGGAUUAGCACCGCUUUCCCGUGACAGGUUUACGAUUAAACUACAGGCUUUGCCUAUUCAGGUUGAUCGGUUGGUGCAGACGGGGCUGAGCUGAGGCUAGGGUUCUACGAUGUCUUUUGCUUCCGCUAAUAACUAACUUGUCACCUCGUUCUCCAUCCCCUAAAUUGAAACUUCUAUUAUGUGGUACAAUAUUAUCUUGUUGGGCUUACACUUUUAACCCAUAAUUCUAUUAGUGAAGCUAUCAAUGAUUAUAAUCAGAGUCACGAAACUAAACUUAUGCGAUCCUGAGUUUGAAUAUUGUCAUUUGAUUGGCAUCCCUCAACGCCUUUCAUUUUAUCUUCUUUCAUCUUAUCUCUUCAGAUAUGAAUACCCGAUUUAAUGGGUAAAUUAUCAAUUUUAU